rnacentral:tRNA from 1 species
CGCGGGGUGGAGCAGCGGUAGCUCGUCGGGCUCAUAACCCGAAGGCCGGACGUUCGAAUCGUCCCCCCGCAA